GGAAAGAACACUGGGUCAGGUACCCAAAGAGGCGCGUCCUAGCCCCACAUCCUCAAGUACCUGGAGCAGCUCUAAGGGUUCCAUGACAUCACACACACAAGAGCCCUUGUAAAGGGGAAAGCCCUCUGCAGAGAACUACUCUCCUAACUCACAGGAUUAGCUGAGCUCUGUGAGCUUAUGAACUAAAAUGUGCUGUGCAAAGGUCAAGUAUUAGAAACAGAAAACGGACGUUGUUUCAUUCUAGGUUCCUAGGAUAUGCUACACCACAAGUCGGCCUGCAAUUUGUUGCCCUUGCUAUUCUAAUACUUUCCCUCAGUGUCUGUCCUUGGAAGGGUUCCGCAAUGACAGAUAAAAACUGAAGAGGACUAUACAGAGAGACUGAACCCAGGCCAGGAAGAGCAAAAGACUUGGUUCCAGAAGGCUCUGAAACAAUGUCUGCAGAAAAGCUUCACAGGCCUAGGGCUGGGUGCAGUCCACGACCUAGUCUCUUGGAGUGAGUGUUUCCAGGAUGUAUGGAGCAGGACUGGGGAGAUGUGGAAAAGGUGUGUAUCACAGGCCCAGGAGACAGUGCUGAAUGUUGGUAGUUCUGCCUUUGGAAACGACUUCCUUCUGGCAUUGCCCGAGGCUCCCUCGCUUAUGAUGAGAUGAUAAAAGAUGGGACCCAUGCCUAUGGGACCAGAGGAAUCAGAGGAGCAGCAGUCUCCACUGCAGAUUAAAUCAUGGUACAAAGAGGGGCGCCUGGGAGGCUCAGUCGUUAAGCGUCUGCCUUCGGCUCAGGUCAUGAUCCUGGAGUCCCGGGAUCGAGCCCUACAUCGGACUCCCUGCUCCGUGGGAAGCCCACUUCUCCCUC